UUAGCUUUUAAAUGAUUCUGUUACUAGUAAAUUUUGGGAUACUUGCAUAAGCAAGAAACUGAAUGAGAUAAUCAGCCCUUCAAGAAAUCAAUCCUUGUGCAAAAGGUUGAAGUGGAGAACUGGAAUGGCAAUAAUAGUAAUGGCGUUUUGCUGUUAUAUUAUACUUCUAUCCAUAUGAUUGAAUAUAAGUCAUAAAUCAUAAUAUUGAGUGUCGAUUAAUAGCUAUUGAUAAUUACAUAGAUCUUCUGCCCAUCUUAAUUACGAUUGUUGUACAAGGAUAAUAGUUUGGGACUGUCAUCAAGCCAAGAUGCUUGCAAGCUACUAAGUUCUGCAGGAUGUAACAAGUAAUCAAGAGUAUGUAUCUGUGCUUUGAGGAUGAAGCAUUUGUUUUGAGAUAAAAAGGGUUUGUUGGAGGAUGAAAGUGGAGGAUAUCUUACAAGAAUUCAUGUGAUACUAUUGAAUGAGGGAGUGACAUUGUUAAACAGGAAAGCAAAAGAAGUAAAUUUGAAGGUCUCGAUGUUGGAAAUUCUGACAGUUUUUAGUGCAACUUGGAUGCAAAAGCUUCCUUAAGCAAUUGUGAUCACUUUUCACCUUGUGUGACUGAAUGUGUAGUUUUGUUUUACUUUUAAUCUGUAAUUAUUAAAUCAUUUUGAGUUUAUUUUGUCUGGGGGGGCUCAUUGCUACUGUAGUUCAUUCUUGUUCUCUGUGUUUUUGUUCUCACUUUGUGUAGCGUUCAAUCUGAAGUAAUUAAAUUGGUCAUUUGACAA